rnacentral:rRNA from 1 species
GAUGAACGCUGGCGGCGUGCCUAAUACAUGCAAGUCGAGCGAACAGACGAGGAGCUUGCUCCUCUGACGUUAGCGGCGGACGGGUGAGUAACACGUGGAUAACCUACCUAUAAGACUGGGAUAACUUCGGGAAACCGGAGCUAAUACCGGAUAAUAUAUUGAACCGCAUGGUUCAAUAGUGAAAGACGGUUUUGCUGUCACUUAUAGAUGGAUCCGCGCCGCAUUAGCUAGUUGGUAAGGUAACGGCUUACCAAGGCAACGAUGCGUAGCCGACCUGAAAGGGUGAUCGGCCACACUGGAACUGAGACACGGUCCAGACUCCUACGGGAGGCAGCAGUAGGGAAUCUUACGCAAUGGGCGAAAGCCUGACGGAGCAACGCCGCGUGAGUGAUGAAGGUCUUCGGAUCGUAAAACUCUGUUAUUAGGGAAGAACAAAUGUGUAAGUAACUAUGCACGUCUUGACGGUACCUAAUCAGAAAGCCACGGCUAACUACGUG